rnacentral:rRNA from 1 species
GACGAACGCUGGCGGCGUGCCUAAUACAUGCAAGUAGAACGCUGAAGGAGGACCUUGCUUCUCUGGAUGAGUUGCGAACGGGUGAGUAACGCGUAGGUAACCUGCCUUGUAGCGGGGGAUAACUAUUGGAAACGAUAGCUAAUACCGCAUAAUAGUAGAUGUUGCAUGACAUUUGCUUAAAAGGUGCAAUUGCAUCACUACCAGAUGGACCUGCGUUGUAUUAGCUAGUUGGUGGGGUAACGGCUCACCAAGGCGACGAUACAUAGCCGCACUGCGAGGGGGAUCGGCCACCCUGGGAGUGAGACACGGCCCAGAGGCCUACGGGAGGCAGCAGUAGGGAAUCGUCGGCAAUGGACGGAAGUCUGACCGAGCAACGCCGAGUGAGUGAAGAAGGUCUUCGGAUCGGAAAGCUCUGUUGUAAGAGAAGAACGAGUGUGAGAGUGGAAAGUUCACACUGUGACGGUAUCUUACCAGAAAGGGACGGCUAACUACGUG